AAAAUUUAAAAUUGCAUAAAAGUAUUUUUAAACCAAUUAAAACAAAGGAGAAAAGAGAAAAUUCAUAAAAAUUAGAAAAUCAGUGAAAUAAAAUAUGGAAAAAUAAAAAUCAGGUGAAGAAAAAUAAAAGAGAAUUUUAGAAAUUAUUUUGGGAUUUUUUGGAUAAAAAAUGAAAUUACUAUGAAUUUUAAAAGAAAAAACAAUUAAAAAUAAUAAAAUAAAAAUAAUUAAAAUAAAAAAAAAACACAGAGUGUUGGACCACGCCUCAUUAAUUGACAUGGCAGAUCCAACACUCCUCAGAUUAGGAUGUACGAUGGAACGUGCUACAAACAACACAUGGGAUCCAAUUCAAAACCAGUCGAUCAAAC
rnacentral:lncRNA from 1 species